UAUAGGUCAAGCUACAAAGGGCGCAUGGUGAAUGCCUUGGCAUCAGGAGCCGAUGAAGGACGUGAUAAGCUGCGAUAAGCUUCGGGGAGUUGCACAUAGCCUGAGAUCCGAAGAUCUCCGAAUGAGGAAACUCACAUGGGAAACCCCAUGUAUCAUUAAGUGAAUACAUAGCUUAAUGAAGGUAACCCAGGGAACUGAAACAUCUAAGUACCUGGAGGAAGAGAAAGAAAAAUCGAUUUUCUUAGUAGCGGCGAGCGAAAGGGAAAGAGCCCAAACCGGAAACUUGUUUCCGGGGUUGUGGACAUAGCAUAAGAGUGGAGGCUAUUGUAACUGAAGAGAACUGGAAAGUUCCACCGUAGAAGGUAAUAGUCCUGUAAGUGAAACGAGAAGACCACGAGUUAUGAUCCAGAGUACCACGAGACACGUGAAACCUUGUGGGAAGCAGGGAGGACCACCUCCCAAGGCUAAAUACUACCUGAUGACCGAUAGUGAAGCAGUACCGUGAGGGAAAGGUGAAAAGAACCCCGGGAGGGGAGUGAAAUAGAACCUGAAACCCUGCACUUACAAACUGUGGAAGCACAUUUCUUGUGUGACCGCGUACUUUUUGUAGAACGGGCCAACGAGUUACGUUAAGUAGCAAGGUUAAGCACUUAAGGUGUGGAGCCGUAGCGAAAGCGAGUUUUAACUGAGCGUUCAGUUACUUGACGUAGACCCGAAACCGGGCAACCGACCCACGACCAGGAUGAAGAGAGACUUAGAUUUGGUGGAGGCCCGAACCCCCGAGCGUUGGAAACCUGGGGGAUGACUGGUGGGUAGCGGUGAAAUGCCAGUCGCCCCCGGAGAUAUCUGGCUCUCCCCGAUAUGGAUUUAGGGAUAGCCGUAAGG
rnacentral:rRNA from 1 species